rnacentral:lncRNA from 1 species
AUCAGUUGUCAUUAGCAAGAGUUUGAAUUUUGAAAACACAUUCUUCCUCUACUAUUUCAUUCAAUCAAGUUUCAAGCAAAAUGUCGAUCAUUCCAAGCUUCUUUGGUGUAAAUCGCAGCAAUGUGUUUGAUCAUUUCUCUCUUGACAUCUGAGAUCCUUUCCAAGGAUUUCCAUUCAACACCAACAACAGUCUCUCCACCAAUUCUUCUGUAGGGAGUGAAGCGUGGAAAAUGGCUACAGUACCCUGAACCAAAUCUAUGCCAAAUUCCACAACACGGUGGGGAGGCAAACCAAGAAUGUCCCCAAAGACAUCCUCAAAAUCACAAACCACUGCCAUAUCAGACAAUGCCAAAUCAACCUUCCCAGAUGCUCCCAACUCGAUAUGCGCCAGAAAAGCUUCAGCUAACUCAUUACCUCGAGGGGUAGCUAUGGUCACAUCAUGACCAUCCACUCGCAAAGUAACUGUCUUUGCUAUGGUAUCUAUCUUCCCCUGAUAACUCUGCAUCCAUCUCAGACCCAGAAUUACAUCGAAACUCUUCAUGUCAUAGACAAUCAAGUUCGCACGAAACUCAUGCUCCUCAAGAGUAACCCGACAAUCCAAACACACAGAAUCUAGAUACUGAUAAAACUCACCAGGAAGUUCAGCAAUCAUAAGAGACUCGAGUUUUUCACAAACAAGACCAGCGGUAUGAGCAAAAGAACGUGCAACGAAAGAAUACUUUGCACCCGUAUCAAACAUAAUCUUAGCAGGCAUGGAAUUAACACAAAACGUACUUUCCAAGAGUGCUCCGUCAGUAGCAUCUCUAGGAAUCAUCGUAUACACACGACCAUAUGCAGGUGGUGCUGGUGCUAUCGCUGCAGUAACUGAUGCAGGUGGUGCCUGUUGUUGCAAGGGAACUGCAGCUGGAACCAUCGCUCCCUGUGGAGUCUCUCCUGGCUGAUAAUAGUACGGUAGAGCAUACAACUGUCCCGUACCUAACGACUGACCCUGAGUCUGACCCGUAGACUGGGUUGAACCUUUACUCUUCCAUGUGCCACUGCUACCCGCAGAUUUCUGAUCGGUUCCACUCUUCUUAUCAUUAUCUUUCAAAUUCUUCUUAGGACACUCAAAAGCACGAUGUCCCUUUUCACCACAGUUAAAACAAGCUCCGCUCUUGAACUUCUCACAGUCUGCCAUCUUAUGUCCUGGCCUCUUACAAGCAUUGCAAGUCACUGUAUACCUCGAACUGCUACCUGAACUAUCUGAUUUGAAUUUCUUCUCAUUACCAUUCUUCUGUCUAUCGGACGGUUGAUGGCGCUUAUGAGACUUACCCCCAUCGAACCCUUUACCACUAGCUUCCUUCAGCUCUCGGGUAUGGAUGAUAUCUGCCUCAGUAAUCAUAGCAGACUCUGCAACCUGCCUAACUGUAGGAUGUUGCUGAUUCUGCACUGCUCGCCUCAGAUUGGUUCUCAAACCAUCCUCAAAUUGUCGAGCUAAACGCCACUCAGAGAAUCUGAGAUCUGUACAAAACCUAGCAAGACGAAUGAAUCUGUGCUCAUACUCUAUAACAGUGUCUUCACCCUGCUGAAUAGUCAACAAUUCCUUUUCUGUAAUGGUCUUCGCUGUCCGAGAGAUGCACUGCUUAUCAAAGAGUCGUUCAAAAUCUGACCAUUCCAUCGUAUCCUCAUCUUCUUCAGAUACUACACUAUUCCACCACAUUCUGGCUCCACCCUUAAGCUGUAGGGCUGCCAAGAGUUGUUGUUGGACUGGGUUCACCUUCAUAAUGCGCAACACGUUCUUCACCUCAGCUUUCCAUUCACCUGCCAUCAGAUGAUUGCCUUUGCCGUCAAAAGUAGGUGGUUUGUGCUUCUGAAAUUUCUCUAUCACCCGCAGCAAUGACUCUAAUCGGCCUGUUUCUAAUUCCUCCUCUGUCAAAUCUGAUUCACCUGCUGGUACCCCUGGCUGAAGUGUCGUAUUAGCUUGUGGUGGAUUUGCACCCAUGUUCCUCAAAGCUACUAACUCUGUUGUAAGAUUAGUAAGCGAAGUCAUCAUGGGCUGCAUCUAAGCUGGAAUCGCAACUCCAGUCUCACUCGUAUCAGUCCCAUCCCUGCAUGUCCCUCUUGUCCGGCCAUUAGUCACUGUAGCAACACAAGUAGGAAACAUGAGAAACAAUCCAGGAAUAGAGAGCUGAAAAUAAAAUGAAACGGAACGUAAACGUAACGUCCUCACUCAAUCUAUACAAACGUACGAACAUACUCCUAUGGUGCUCUAACACCCACAGACUCUAGGAAUAUCCCACUAGGAUAAAUGAACUCUAAGCUCUGAUACCAACUGUGACGCCCCCAAAAUCCAAUCCUAGUUGAUCAGGCUAAGACCAGACUCCAGAGUCGUAAUGUUCUCCAAAUGUCCACCAUGGACCGUAGGUUCACACUACUGCCACGUGACACCAAGCUCCAAAUCCAAUAUCCAUGUAAGGACAGAAUAAUAAAAUAUCACACGAACAAAAUUCGAACAAAACAUCAGCGGAAGAUUUAUUCAAGCCGAACUUUGUAUAUACAUAUAUACAAGGGUUGAACUGAAAGAAAAACACACAACUGAAAGGAUAACAUACUGUGUUUGCCCCAAGGGCUACACUGAUAACAAAAGACUAACUAUAACUUAGAGCACCUGCUUAGCUAACUAUCUCCAACUAGAUCCUCUUCGCACGCUCCGAGAAUCGCUUUACCUGUUUCCUGGAAGGAAGAGAAAAAGGAGCGAUUAAACGCUAGCAAGUUACACAACUUGAUAUCCGAUCUUGAUCCCAGGGACGGAAUCAGCGCACCCAAUAAAAUAUAGCAAUACAAUACAUGUAUCAAUUAUAAUCAUUAUAUCAAUUCCAGCAACUCGAAUCAAUAAACAAUUAUAUAAACAAUCUAAUCAUCACACAUAAGGCAUAAAGCCUAUCCAUCUGAUAUCAAAUCAUCUGGUAUCGUAGUACCCCAGCCAUGCAUCUGUAUGCGACACCGAGCAAUACUCUCCGUACACUCCAGGGACGUCUCCCCAAAUUCAGACUGUUCAAAACAGUCUCUGGCUCGAAAGCCCUUUUCACACAAAUCAAUCCAUUCAUUCAAAUUGAAUGCAUCUUAACUAUUAAUACGCAUAAAUUUCAAAAUAUGCAAUCUCACAUUUAGCAUGAAAAUUAUACAUGAAUAAUAUCACUAAUAAUCUAAUAAAUUACUGCAGCGUCAAUUAGGAUUUAUGACAAUCAAUAUCAUGUUAGAAUCAAAUAAACACACUAACAUGCUUUCCUAUCAAUUUUCCAACAAUAACCGAAAUUGGACUAUAACUAUAGUACACUCUUACACCCACUAACCUCAUCUAUCUCCUAAAAGCAAGAGAAGAUAUCAAAUCAUGUAACUUACGUCGCUUUGCGAAGGAGAACACUAUAAUGAUAAGCUAUUAUCAAAAAAAAAGAAUAGCAACCCGCAAAUUCCAAGCACUAAAGCAUACAAUUUCCAAGUCCUUAGCCUUCUUCUUCUUAUUAAAAAUUUUCGGCAACUUUUCUAUAGUGUAAAAACAAAGUAAAGCAAGUUCUGUUCUUUCUCUUUUGAUGUAUAACAGAAACCAGGUAACAUCAGUUUAUAUUCAUAAGGUAUGUCGGUUCUCAUUCUCUGCACUCUAGUGUGAACUGGUUUGGUUAAGGUCAAAACAGUGAGCUUAGAUCUAAAGUCAAAAAUAGUGAGCAACUCUAAAAUUUUCAGCAAACUAACAUGCAGUGAAUGAAAGUCAAAUCCCUAACUAACGUCCAAGGUCAAACAAGCGUACAUCCAUGCAUGUUACUAUCCUACAGGGUAUUACAUGAAGCCUCUGCAUUUGCAACUUCUUUAGAAAGUUCAGGUUGCCGGAGAAUGCCAAGGUUGAUGAGGUGAAGGCGGCAAUGGAGAAUGGGGUGCUGACUGUUACUGUGCCUAAGCAAGAAUGAAGAAACCUGAUGUUAAGCCAAUUGAAAUCUCUGGUUAAAACAAGUACUGUUUGUGACAUUUUGUAUGUUGUUGGUGUGUGUCCUUCAACAAUGGCAAAGUUUCUCCUUAAUGUGAUGUACCAGCGUGUUAAUAAUAAGAAAGGAAUGUUUUAUUUAAUUGUUUUCUUAGAUUUGUUCUUGUCCACAGUUCAGAUCUCAAAUAAUUUUCUUUCCAGUAAUGAACAAUACUAAUGGCAAGGUCAUAGUAACUAUAGUAAUGCAAUAAUAUGAAUGCAGUCUAUUUCAAGGUAUCCCAUUUCAACAUAUGUCAGGUAGAAGACACUUUUGAUAGUAGGAAGAACAUAUACGGUAAAUACUAGAAUUCAGAAUCAACAUAAUUCUUAAGCAAGAUGUGGUUAUAACACUGAUGGUAAAGUAAUUUGAAUCAAGCAUUAGAGCUCUAGGAUAGAACAUUAGAACUUAUAAUGAAAAAAUACACAAAACCAAUGUCAGAUAAUGCACCUGGCCUCGGUACUUCUUACUCCCUCAUUGCUUGCGAGAAUACUUGGGUGCUUAAUGUUCGUUCCAAUCUAAAUAUCUGGGUGGUU